GACGAACGCUGGCGGCGUGCCUAAUACAUGCAAGUAGAACGCUGAAGGAGGAGCUUGCUUCUCUGGAUGAGUUGCGAACGGGUGAGUAACGCGUAGGUAACCUGCCUGGUAGCGGGGGAUAACUAUUGGAAACGAUAGCUAAUACCGCAUAAUAGUAGAUGUUGCAUGACAUUUUCUUAAAAGUUGCAAUUGCAUCACUACCAGAUGGACCUGCGUUGUAUUAGCUAGUUGGUGGGGUAACGGCUCACCAAGGCGACGAUACAUAGCCGACCUGAGAGGGGGAUCGGGCAACCUGGGACUGAGACACGGCCCAGACUCCUACGGGAGGCAGCAGUAGGGAGUCUGCGGCAAUGGACGGAAGGCUGACCGAGCAACGCCGCGUGAGUGAAGAAGGUUUUCGGAUCGUAAAGCUCUGUUGUAAGAGAAGAACGAGUGUGAGAGUGGAAAGUUCACACUGUGACGGUAUCUUACCAGAAAGGGACGGCUAACUACGUG
rnacentral:rRNA from 1 species